rnacentral:rRNA from 1 species
UACGUAGGGUCCGAGCGUUUGUCCGGAAUUAUUGGGCGUAAAGAGCUCGUAGGCGGUUUGUCGCGUCUGCUGUGAAAACCGGAGGCUCAACCUCCGGCCUGCAGUGGGUACGGGCAAACUAGAGUGCGGUAGGGGGAGAUUGGAAUUCCUGGUGUAGCGGUGAAAUGCGUAGAUAUCGGGAGGAACAUCGAUGGCGAAAGCAACCGUCUGGGCCUGAACUGACACUGAGACACGAAAGCGUGGGGAGCAAACAGGG